AAUAGAUACCCUGGUAGUCCUGGCCUUAAACGAUGAUCACUAGGUGUAGGAGGCUUCGACCCCUUCUGCGCCGCCGCUAACGCAUUAAGUGAUCCGCCUGGGGAGUACGGCCGCAAGGUUAAAACUCAAAGGAAUUGACGGGGGCCCGCACAAGCAGUGGAGCAUGUGGUUUAAUUCGAUGCUACGCGAAAAACCUUACCAGGGUUUGACAUCCCGGUGUAACCCCAUAGAAAUAUGGGGCCCCUUCGGGCGCCGGUGACAGGUGGUGCAUGGUUGUCGUCAGCUCGUGCCGUGAGGUGUUGGAUUAAGUCCCGCAACGAGCGCAACCCUCGUCUUUAGUUGCCAGCAUUAAGUUGGGCACUCUAGAGAGACUGCCGGUGACAAACCGGAGGAAGGUGGGGAUGACGUCAAGUCAGCAUGCCCCUUACGUCCUGGGCUACACACGUACUACAAUGCUGCGGACAAAGGGCAGCAAGCCAGCGAUGGCAGGCCAAUCCCAUAAACCGUGGCUCAGUUCAGAUCGCAGG
rnacentral:rRNA from 1 species